rnacentral:tRNA from 1 species
CUGUCGUCGUGGUCGAAGGAGUGGCUGGAGACCUCGUGGGUCAACACGCUGCGGCCGUCGUUCGAGGUGGCCGACGGCAGG